CGCUCACAUCCUCAGUUUUAAUGUUUUGGGGCACUGGGGAUUCCACGGGGGUCUUUCCACUGAGCUGCGCCCUAGCCCUUUCUUAUUUAGAGACAGCGUCUCCCUAAGUGGCUAAGUUGCCCAUGCCAGGCUCCACCUGCGGUCUUCCUGCCUCGGCCUCCCGGAGUGCGGGAUGACAGGCGUGUGCACCCCACCCGGCCUUCUCAUUUGCAUCAGGUCCUUGCUAGGUGGCAGGAGGCCUACUGCGUGCGAUGCUGUGUGACUCACUGCCUACCUCAGGAGGUGAGAAGGGGCCUGCACGCAUUCAGCGUAGACCGGAGUUUUUCUCUUACUUUCCACAGGGUGGGUGCGAUCGGAGGGUGCAGAGCCGCGCUGACACGCUCGUGUGUGCGCGUGCUGUGCAUCCAUGCACACGCAGCAGAGAUCACCUCGGACGUCGAGGUCAGCUGGAUACCACGGACACAGGCAGGGGAGAGCUGAGCAAGCUGAAAGGUUGGGGGCAGGCGACCCAGCGUCCACGAGGCCAACGCAGAAGAGCCCAGCAGCGGGACCUGGGACAGGACCCGAGGUUCAGGGCUCUUUGGCCAGCCCGACUCGGCCUCCUGUCAGGAGGGUGUGGAGAGAGCUAUGCCCCAGGGUGCAGGACAGAUCGAAGGAGAGCCUGCCACGGUCCUCAGGGCCCUUGCACAAACGUCCCCUCUUCUGAGGACCCGCCCCUUCCUGGAGCUCCACCUCAGAUGUGAGCACCGGUCCGGAUGGCAUCGAGGGCUUUCCUGAAGCUUGGCUGAGGCCUUUGAGACUGCAGAUGCCGCCGUGAAUGCCUGUGAGCAGAUAUUUGUGUGCCGCUGUCUCCGGCCCCGUGGGGCAUGGGUGGCUCACCCGGCUCUGAGGAAUCACCAGACUCUUUCCAGCAGUGGCUGCGCCUCCAUGGUCUCCACGGGCAGUGCGUGUGGCGCCGAUUUCUCCACAUCUCCAUUUACUUUUUAAAGUUCCCGGCGGCACGGCACCUCGUGGUCAGGAGAGGGGCUGAGGCCCACGGAGAGAAACUCAAGGGCGCAAGUGCACAGCCUGCGGCCAGCAGGGGGCGGGGCCCGCAGCUGGCCCUGCCCUGGGGACCGGUGGGGGUUGCUGUUCUCCGACAGAGCCAAGGCCGUGGUCAGCUCUGGAGAGCGCCAUUAUCCUGGACGUGGGGGACCGGGGUGUGACAGCGAGACAGGACUGGGGCCAGGAGAGGGGGAGCUUAGGCCUGGAUCCGAAGCCGCAGGCAGGAGAGGGCCCUGCGGGGAGGGAGAAGAGGCAGGGUUAGCCCUUCCAACCAGGCAAAGCCGGAAGAGGCCUUCAGGGUGCUUGAGUGUGAGUUAAGUACAGUGUCACUGUCCAGGGGGGUGGGAAAAGUUCCACGAUCAAACAGUUGUGGGAACGCUCUAUAUCAGUGGUGGCAAACCUUUCAUUUCUCCUUUUUAAAUUUUCUGGUUUUCUGAGGCAGGGUCUCUCUAUGCAGUUCAGGUUGGUCUUGAACUCACUAGGUAGCUCAGGCUGGCCUAAACGUGGGGAUCCUCCUGCCUCAGCCUCCCGAGGGCUGGAAUUGCAGGCAUGUGCUACCUUUCAGAGCUUUCAGUGAUAACAAACAGCUGGCUGCAGUAGGUAGGUUUGCCACCCUCCGCCCAGUGCACCUUUCCUCUUGGAGAUCUGCAGUACCCUUUACUCCCCGAGGGCUCUUGGGUGGUGAGCUUUCUUGAACGGGGCGUUUCUCGAAACCAUGUGACCCCGUGUUUUCUUCUCUGCUGUGCCCUCUCUACGCCUGUUAAGUAUAACAGAAUCGACAUCUAGAGCCAGGCGUGGGGGCGCACGCCUGGGAUCCCAGCGCUCAGGAGGCCGAGGCAGGAGGAUGGCUGUUUGAGGCCAGCCUGGGCUACGAGUGAGACCCUGUCUCAAAAACAACAAAACAAAAACCUCCGGUCUGCUUUCCCGGAAGCCCACGGCUAGGGUGACCAGCUGAGGGCAGGGAGGGCGGAAGAGCCGGGAGGAGCGAGUUCAGGCCUUGCCUCGGCAAAGCCCGCCCACCACCGUCUUCCUGCCAUCACACCCGUGUCCCGGGGGCGCCAAGAGUCAAGGCCGGCCCCCACCUGCAAAAGCGAUUGGCUGAGGGAGGGCCACGUGACCAGAGCCGGCCAAUCCCAGUGAAGUUCAGGCCUGUAUAGGGCUGCUGCGGGUGUCAGGAAGCCCUGAGUCUCACAGAAUGUGGAUGUGGAGAGGAAACUGAGCUGAAACAGGGGCUGGCUGAGAAAAAAUUCACAAAGUUAUGAUCACAGAACUGUGAUCAAUGAAUAUUUGAACCCCUGGAGAAAUGUUCAGUGUACACUGUGCUCAGCUAUGUAUUCCAGGCUGGCUGUAAACUUGCAGCAAUCCUCCUGCCUCAGCCUCCUGGAUGCUGAGAUUACAGGUGUGCACUACCACGCCUGGCUAUUGUGCAUGAAUUCACCAGUGGAUUAAAUGCUUCAUGAGAUGAUCUCAAUCUAAGAUAUGCAUGCGUUCAUGAGAUAUCAGUAUACAUGGAGAGCAUGUGUGGACACAGCACCUACGCCCAAGUUGCACUUUUACUAUCAUGAAGAGAAAGAGCCUAUGUGCAUUGUUCAGGGUGCUUUCCCACAGCCCCGAGGCUGGAAACCUUGUCGUUCCCAUCUGACUGAGGAGGGUGAGGCAGGGCAGUGGCUCCUUGUGGCUGUCUUCGGUAGGGAGCCCUGCAGACGUGAGAAGGGUGACUUUUCCCCGGCCUCAAUAGGACGGGUGUUCUGCACUUGCUUGGUUGUUUUUCUGCAAUUUAUGGUUGUUUGGGACAGGGGAGCUCAGCUUUCUGCAAGGCGCCAAGGGUGAAUGUUUCAGCUCCGAGUGCCCGGCGGCCCUGCCACACGAGCCCACUACCCCCGGCGGCAGCAGGCAGCUCUCCAGGCCGUGCUCCAGUGACACUUUGUUCGUGGGCCCAGGCAACUUUCACGUGGCAGCAGGAGUCUUCUUUCGUCCUUCCCGGC
ensembl:lncRNA